rnacentral:rRNA from 1 species
GUGAGGAAUUUUCCGCAAUGGGCGAAAGCCUGACGGAGCAAUGCCGCGUGAAGGAUGAAGGCCUAUGGGUUGUAAACUUCUUUUCUCAGAAAAGAAUUAUGACGGUAUCUGAGGAAUAAGCAUCGGCUUACUCUGUGCCAGCAGCCGCGGUAAGACAGAGGAUGCAAGCGUUAUCCGGAAUGAUUGGGCGUAAAGCGUCUGUAGGUUGUUUAAAAAGUAUUCUGUCAAAGAUUAGGGCUUAACCCUAGAUAGGCAGAAUAAACUUUUAAGCUAGAGUUUGGUAGAGGCAGAGGGAAUUCCCGGUGGAGCGGUGAAAUGCGUAGAUAUCGGGAGGAACACCAAAGGCGAAGGCACUCUGCUGGGCCAAUACUAACACUGAGAGACGAAAGCGAGGGGAGCAAAUGGGAUUAGAAACCCCUGUAGUCC